UAGCAAUGAAGAUGAAAGAGUGAUGUAUCAGAGAGGAAUGAGCCUAGAAAACUUAGAAUAUAAUGGUUCUAAAAUUAACCAAAGUAAGGGACACAGGCAUUAGAGUAGGUUUUGCAGAGAAUGAAUGUUUUAAGACACACACAGGUGUCUCUGGGACAACCAAGAAAAGUGCAACAGGCAGAUGGAUUGAGGAGUCUGGCUAAAGAUAAGGAUUUAGGAACUGCUGAAUUAAAAUUACCCAAGCGUGAGAAGUGGUGUUGUGAUUAAGAGAGAAAAAAAAAAUGGAGGUCUGAGGAAUAACAUUUAAGGAAUAAAUGAAGAGGCCAAAAGGUGGGGGGUGGUUCAGGAGUGAGCAAAAUGUAAGAAGUCAAGGGAAUAAAUCUUUAAAGUAGGGGUUGUCAAAAAUGUCAAAUACAGAAAAAAAGUCAAGUACUAGCUUGUGAAUUAAACUGUGGAUUUAGAAUUAAGAUUUUAGACUUUACAGGAAGGGACUGUUAACCAGAGAGCCAAAUGGCAGAUUUUAGUUAAGGAGCCAGUAGAAGGUGACAAAGUAGAGGUAAGAAUAUUCCUUCAAAAAGAUUGGCAGCUAAAAAAAAAAGAGGCCGGGCGUGGUGGCUCACGCCUGUAAUCCCAGCACUUUGGGAGGUCGAGGUGGAAGAAUGGCGUGAACCUGGAAGGCAGAGCUUGCAGUGAGCUAAGA
rnacentral:lncRNA from 1 species